UAGCCAUGAUGUGGAAAAGCGUUUAGAAAACCCUUGAAUUUUUCUCAAAAUUGGAAGGAGGUUUCUUCCUCUUUCUGUGAAAAAUUCAUGAUCACCCUUCUAAGGGU